rfam:Wickerhamomyces anomalus NRRL Y-366-8 unplaced genomic scaffold WICANscaffold_4, whole genome shotgun sequence.
GCGCAUGUGGUUUAGCGGUAAAAUUCAUGUUUCCCAUACUUGAGCCCCCGGUUCGACUCCGGGCUUGCGCA